GGCCCGUUGGUCAAGGGGUUAAGACACCUCCCUUUCACGGAGGUAACGGGGGUUCAAAGUCCCCUGGUCACCA
rnacentral:tRNA from 1 species